rnacentral:rRNA from 1 species
GACGAACGCUGGCGGCGUGCUUAACACAUGCCAGUCGAACGGAAAGGCCCUGCUUUUGUGGGGUGCUCGAGUGGCGAACGGGUGAGUAACACGUGAGUAACCUGCCCUUGACUUUGGGAUAACUUCAGGAAACUGGGGCUAAUACCGGAUAGGAGCUCCUGCUGCAUGGUGGGGGUUGGAAAGUUUCGGCGGUUGGGGAUGGACUCGCGGCUUAUCAGCUUGUUGGUGGGGUAGUGGCUUACCAAGGCUUUGGCGGGUAGCCGGCCUGAGAGGGUGACCGGCCACAUUGGGACUGAGAUGCGGCCCAGACUCCUACGGGAGGCAGCAGUGGGGAAUAUUGCACAAUGGGCGGAAGCCUGAUGCAGCAACGCCGCGUGCGGGAUGACGGCCUUCGGGUUGUAAACCGCUUUCGCCUGUGACGAAGCGUGAGUGACGGUAAUGGGUAAAGAAGCACCGGCUAACUACGUG